CAACAUAACCAGGACCCCCAUAGUAAUGGCGACUGAACAGGGAUGAGCUCACUGUGGAAAUUAGAGCAUGUGGCUUUGACUUGUAAUAUUGUGUGGCAUCGCCUACAGAGGCGCAGAUGCAAGUCUCUUGGAACAGAGCAUCAAUGAAGGUGAGAGCCCUGAUUGCCAUUUGCAGCUACUCCCCUGUGCAUGGUGUGCCUGAUGAGAAUCACGCUCCUUGGAAGUGGAGCGCAAAGAGGGUGGUAGAUUUCAUCUGAGGCUAAACAAGGGUUUGGGACCGAUAGGAAACAAGUACCAUGAGGGAAAGGUGAAAAGGACUUUGGAAAGAGAGUUAAAUGUGCCUGAACUUGCUGAAGGGGAAGCGAAUGGAACCAGUGACACUUCGUGAGAUUGUCACAUGCAAUACGGAUUGGUUGGUGAAUUGGCGCAAGUGAUUUGGUAAUGCUUGAAGUGUUGGUGUGUGUGGCGUGUCUUGCCUUGCGUGCCAUCGUGGGCUUAUGCAUUAAGACACGUCAAAGUGCAAGGGAACAUGUUUCAGAACCUAUCAAUGUAGUUUGACUGCUCGCGCAUAAGCUUAAUCCUGUUUGUCUGGCUGCAGUGCCAGCUGUCCACAAUAUGUGGUGUGGGUGGCUAAGUGUGCCUUCUUCACAAUACCUGACUAAA
rnacentral:rRNA from 1 species